rnacentral:rRNA from 1 species
AUUGAACGCUGGCGGCAUGCCUUACACAUGCAAGUCGAACGGCAGCACGGGUGCUUGCACCUGUUGGCGAGUGGCGAACGGGUGUGUAAUACAUCGGAACAUGUCCUGUAGUGGGGGAUAGCCCUGCGAAAGCCGGAUUAAUACCGCAUACGAUCUACGGAUGAAAGCGGGGGCCCUUCGGGCCUCGCGCUAUAGGGUUGGCCGAUGGCUGAUUAGCUAGUUGGUGGGGUAAAGGCCUACCAAGGCGACGAUCAGUAGCUGGUCUGAGAGGACGACCAGCCACACUGGGACUGAGACACGGCCCAGAAUCCUAGGGGAGGAAGCAGUGGGGAAUUUUAGACAAUGGGCGAAAGACUGAUCCAGAAAUGCCGCGUGUGUGAAGAAGGCCUUCGGGUUGUAAAGCACUUUUGUCAGGAAAGAAAUUCUUGGCCCUAAUACGGUCGGGGGAUGACGGUACCGGAAGAAUAAGCACCGGCUAACUACGUG